rnacentral:lncRNA from 1 species
CUGGAGCUUUCUUUCUGUUAUUAUUUUGUGUGUGCUUUGAGACAGGGUCUUGCUGUGUUGCCCAGGCUGGAGUGCAGCAGCAUGAUCACAGCUCGCUACGGCCUCGACCUCCUGGCCUCAAGUGAUCCUCCUACUUCAGCCUCCUGAGUAGCUGGGACUACAGGCUUGCAUCACCAUGCCUGGCUGAUUUUUUAUUUUUAUUUUUUGUAAAGAUGAGGUCUCACUAUGUUGCCCAGGUUGGCCUCAAACUCCUGGGCUCAAGCCAUCCUCCAGCCUUGGCCUCCCAAAGUGCUGGGAUUACAGGUGUAAGCCACCAUGCCUGGACUCUCUGGAGCUUUCUGAGGAACAGACAGGGUGGCAGUGACGCUCUGUGCCCCCGAGAGGGGGUGGGCUGGAAAGCAGAACAUGCUAUUCUGUGUGCGCCCAGGGCAGCUUCAUCCUUCUGGCUUCUCUGACCACCACCAGCCAUGCUGGGUGCAAGAGCCCCAAGGGAGGGCCCCUGUUCUUUCCCUGGGGUACCCAGAGGAUUUCCCAUACUUGCAUAGGACCUGGGGGUCAGGAGGGGGAGGAAUCAGGAAGAAGAAGCCGCCUCUGAGAGAAGGAGUGGGAGAGAGCCAGCAGCAGAGCUGUCUCCCAGCUUCUCACUUUCAGAAACACACUCGCUGCCGCAGCCUUUUAUUCUUCCUACAAAUUUGUACUGCACACUUACUGUGGGCAAGGCCAGUUCCUGCCAAGCACAAGCUUGUGCUUAGGCAGCUGUCAGUGUGGGCACGCCCUCCAUGGCUGCCUGGCCUGAGGGCAGGCUCAUUAAGCGAAUGAGGAGGGGCAGUGUCAGUUCACCGGCUGCCUCCUCCGAGGAAUCUUCCAGCCCACCCCAGCCCAAGGCUCCCUUCCUGUCCCGAGCACCAUGUCUGUCACUGUUAGCAUUAUUGCCUACAGUUACUGCCCCCCAAGUAUAACCUCCCCAGGACCCAUACCUAGGAGGGAGGGAACUACAGGCAGUGGAGGCCUCUGCUUAGAGAUGCUCUGUAAUUCUGACUGCCCCAUGCUCACCUCUGGAAAGAGAGGCAGUUCAAUUACCCAACCAAUAAUGUAGCCAUUUUCUGUCUGUUGGGCAGGUGAGACCAAUAAUACCAGCUGCCCCCAGCUCCAGUCCCCCCUCCCCUGGCUCAGCAUCUUAGCACAUUUGUUGCUUAGCAAGGGAGGGUGGUUCCCAUGACUUUCUGUUUCUUUGCUCCCCACUCACCUAGCAGCUGAUGGGGAGUGGGAGGACAGUGGUCGCCUGUCAGCUUCCCUGCUGUCUUAUGUGCACAUGGCAGGGGUGCCGUACAGCCUGGAGGCCUGGACAAAUGGAAUUCAAGGGCUGGGGAAAGAGUGGGCUGAGGCCUUACCGGUCACACCUACAGGCUGCCGAGCCUGCCAGGCAGCUUCAAUUGCAGGGUUCGGCUCCCAGAGAGAAUGGCUGCUGUUCUAUUCUACCUUGGUCCCUGGGAUGGAAACCUGAUUGGAUUGAAUCCUAGGAUAUGUCAUUUUCCCUCUGCUAGCUGCUGGUCCCAGCGUCUCCCAUACCUGAUGGUGUGAGGCUGGACCAGAGCCGGUAUCUAUGCCAGGAGAGUCUGGGGCUUGGCCUGUUUCUGGGGCACUGGGGCACUGGGGCAGGGAAUAGGUCUUGGCUGCUAGGUGAGCUACUCCUCAAUGCACCCAGGAGCUUUCCAGAUCCAUAGCCCUGAAGAGAGAAGAGAGAAGAUCUCACGGACUGUUGAUCUUUCACCUUUCCCUCUCUGCUGUCCCCAACCUGUCAUCUGUGCCACAGAACUGAGGACCUAGUUGGAGAGACAGACAGAGGAGGGGAUAGAAGAAAGCAGACAUGCCUGAGGCCACACAGCUGGCUGUCAUAGAAGUUACUUGGACAACACCACCCACCCCUGGGGGGUGGGGUGGUGGGAACUUGCUUGGUGAUGGCAACAAACAAACAAACACUUUCCCCUUCCCACUUCUCUUCCGGUAUUCCAGACAGGAGGAAUAAUGUACUGAUCUGCUGACAUUAAGAAGGACCCUAUUUUCAGAUUACUUCUUCAAAGGAGCAGCAUCUACAUUGGCAAGGUGAUUACAACCCAAGCACACAGCUGAUUUGGAAGACUUGAGUCCCAAAAGAUGACUUUUUUUUUUCCUCCUCCUCUGCAGGAUGCUUUAGCUUGAAACAUCUGGGUAACUGCUUAACACCUUCCUAUUUUGCAGAACAUUCCCAGCAUCGGGGCCGUUUGCAUCUUUCUGGGCUAGUAUUUUUCAGGAUUAUUUAGAACCAAGGACCUCAUGCACUGGGGGAGGUCCUGCUCCUCUCUGCCCACCCCGUUUCUCAUGCCCCCACUUCCACCUCCAACACUCCCUCAAGGGCAGAGGCGCUCAUCUUCCACUGUAUGUCCGCAGGGUUAAAACCUGCCAUGUUGCCUGUCUCCCAGGACAUGGCUCCUUCAGGGAUUUCUUUCUUUUUUUUUUUUGUUUUUUUGUUUUUUU